GGGUGGAGGAGCUGCGAGGGGGGAGCCGGGCGGGGGGUAUCAAGGCGAGCGCGGUUUCUUUGCGUGAGUGCCCCGUAAAGACGGUGAGUGAUGAGUGUAUCCCGACCUGCCCCGUCAUGUUUUCCGCCUUUCUCGUCGUCUCAGCUGUCAUGCAGCCCCCUGACUCGCCACACAGGGGCAUCAGGUUUCAGUCAUGAAGUUUGUGGUGGAGCAUCAGAGCAAGGAUUGAGGAUGGCUAGGCAGGCUGGAUGGUCUCCACAGCCAGCCUGAUAGUAUCCACACACCACUCCAUUCUCCCUUAUUUCUGCCAAGGGAGGCCAUGCACCACAUUUCAUGCAGGAUGUACUGCACCGAUGACAUAGCGUUGAGGGAAGCGCCUCUUUGUAUCCCGGCCCAGCACUUUAUUGAACAUAUGAAGGUGCUCCAGAGUUUCAAGAAAGGAGUGGCACACACACACUUUGCUGCACUCUAAGCUUUUGGAGGUCCAGUGGCACACUGCAUACUGCUUUCAUAAAUGUGUGUGCAGAGUGCAAGACAGAGGGGGCCAAGGAUGGAGGAUGCUUCAACAUUCACAGCAUCAUUGGUUCAUGCUUUCUUAUUUUGUGGAAAGUAGUGCACA